rnacentral:rRNA from 1 species
AUUCUGUUAGUUAGGAUUUUCAUUUACAUUGAAAAUUAUUGUCGUGCAAUUCGAUAUGAUUUGAGGAUUGAGUUAAUUAUUUUAUUUGUGUUGUUUUAAUUUGUUGUUAUUAAAAUAUUUUAUUGUUUUUGUAGGUUUUAUUGAUGGAAUUAUUUUGAUUAUGAUAGUUUAGUACUGUGAAGGUAUUUAUGAAGAUUUGUGGAAGUUGAUUUAAUUUAUUGUACCUUGUGUAUUAGGGUAAAUUAAUUAUUAAUUAAAUAAUUUAUUGUUCUCGAUUCUGAAAGAGUUAAUUAGUUGUUAUUUAGUUAAUGUUGAAUAAAUAUUUAUAAUUUCUAAUUGGUAAUGAAAUGUUAAUCGUUUUUGGUUAUAUCUGGUUUCUUAAGAAAUAAAUAGAAUUUUAUGUUAAUUGGUUAUGUUAUUUUUUUUUGAAUUAAUAUAUAAAUUGGUGUUUAUGAUAUGGGGGUUUAGCUUUAUAUUAUUAAAUCAUAAGUAGUGGGUUGUUAUAGAAAAAAAAGAUUUAAUGGAUUUAAUGGUGAUUAUUUAUUGGAGGAUGUUGAAAUGAAAUUUAUUUAAUUGGGUAAUAUUGAUUGACUUUGAUUUUAUUAUUGGGAUAAUUAUUUUAAUAUGUAUUUUGAUAUAAGUAUGAUUUAAUUAGUAUAUUUUUAUUUAAUGUGAUGAUAAGUAUUUAAUAAGGAAUUAGGCAAAGUUUAUAUUCACUUGUUUAUCAAAAACAUCUUUUCUUGAUUGAAUUUGAAAUAUAACCUGCCCACUGAUUGUAUUUAAAGGGCCGCGGUAUUUUGACCGUGCAAAGGUAGCAUAAUAAUUUGUCUUUUAAUUGGGGGCUGGAAUGAAUGGUUGGAUGAGAUAUUAUCUGUCUUAUGUUAUAAUUGAUAUUAGAAUUUAAUUAUUAUGUGAGAAAGCAUGGAUGUAUUUAUGGGACGAGAAGACCCUUUAGAAUUUUAUAAUUUUGGAUAAAAUUAUGAUUAUUAUUUAUAUUGGUAGUUAUUGGGAAUUAUUUUGUUGGGGUGAUGUAAAAAUAUAAUUAACUUUUUGUGUAUGUGUAUAUUUAUUUUUAGUUUUUGGAUCCUUUAUUGUGAAUAUAAGAUUAAAUUACCUUAGGGAUAACAGCGUAAUAUUUACUGAGAGUUCAAAUUGACGUAGAAGAUUACGACCUCGAUGUUGGAUUAAGAUUUAUUUUGGGUGUAGAAGCUUAAUAAUAUUUGGUCUGUUCGACCAUUAAAAUCUUACAUGAUCUGAGUUCAAAUCGGUGUGAGCCAGGUUG